GUCAUGCUGGGUAACGGAACGUAUAUACCCAAUCGACUAACUCUGUAGCUGUAGAACACAAAACACACAGUCACCUCUCGAGAAUGAUCUUGCGCCAGGUGUUCGAGGUGUUGACAAAGUCCCUCAGGUUGUCGUUGGUGACGAUGAUCCCGUCUGUUUUUUCGGCGAGGUGGAGCAGGAACCUGGCAGAGACAAAGGCAGAAGCCGGGUGUGGAUUAUGACACUCAGGAUUUUCCCGGCAUUCAAAGGUCAAGAGCUUGUUCCCAGUGCGUCCGCUGGAGCCCGCAGUGGGGAAUCCGUCAGCAGGGAAACACCUUAAGUGCUGAGUCAGCCACCUGUUGUGAGUCGGUCUCUCUUCUGACGCCACUGAGGGACGAACACUGUGAUUUCUCUGUGGCCUCUUCUCCAAAACGUCUCCACUGCCAGCGCUAUACCACGACAGGAGAAGAACCGAUGAAGGCCGUGACUGGAGAGGAAAAGAAAAAGAAGGACACAGUGAGAUGGAAGAACAUGCAGACUGCAAACCAUGAAAGUAUAAAAAUGGAUGUAGUAAGCAAUAAUGAAUUAAAGUGAGACGUAACUGCACACUGGA